rnacentral:rRNA from 1 species
GACGAACGCUGGCGGCGUGCUUAACACAUGCAAGUCGAACGGAAAGGCCCUGCUUUUGUGGGGUGCUCGAGUGGCGAACGGGUGAGUAACACGUGAGUAACCUGCCCUUGGCUUUGGGAUAACUUCAGGAAACUGGGGCUAAUACCGGAUAGGAGCUCCUGCUGCAUGGUGGGGGUUGGAAAGUUUCGGCGGUUGGGGAUGGACUCGCGGCUUAUCAGCUUGUUGGUGGGGUAGUGGCUUACCAAGGCUUUGACGGGUAGCCGGCCUGAGAGGGUGACCGGCCACAUUGGGACUGAGAGACGGCCCAGACUCCUACGGGAGGCAGCAGUGGGGAAUAUUGCACAAUGGGGGGAAGCCUGAUGCAGCAACGCCGCGUGCGGGAUGACGGCCUUCGGGUUGUAAACCGCUUUCGCCUGUGACGAAGCGUGAGUGACGGUAAUGGGUAAAGAAGCACCGGCUAACUACGUG